rnacentral:rRNA from 1 species
ACGUAGGAGACAAACGUUAUCCGGAGUUACUGGGCGUAAAGGGCGUGCAGGUGGUCUGUUAAGUCUGGCGUGAAAGCUCCUGGCUAAACCGGGAGAGGUCGUUGGAUACUGGCGGACUAGAGGACGGUAGAGGCGUGUGGAAUUCCGGGUGUAGUGGUGAAAUGCGUAGAGAUCCGGAGGAACACCAGUGGCGAAGGCGACACGCUGGGCCGUACCUGACACUGAUACGCGACAGCAUGGGGAGCGAACGGGA